GCUGGAUUAAGAUCUUCACUUCAGCAGCUGAGACAAUCACAGGAAACUGGGAAAAAGAGUCUUGAGGGCAGAAAGAAAGAAGAUCUACCUGGUGGUGGCAGAACAAAAAGAUUAUACAACCACGCAAGAAGAGUUCAGUCUUGCAAGAUGUGAAUAUAAGAAGCUAUUUUCAACUGAAAAGUCCAUGGAAGAGAUUUCGAAACAAAGAGGAGAAAAUCAACAGGAUCUAAUUGUGAGGAGCAGAUGAUACAUCUCCAGGUGGACCUCAAAUGUGAAAUUG